rnacentral:rRNA from 1 species
UACACACCGCCCGUCACACCAUGGGAGUCUGUUGCACCAGAAGUAGCUAGCCUAACCGCAAGGGGGGCGGUUACCGCGGUGUGGCCGAUGACUGGGGUG